GGAACCUCUGCGAAUAUCCAGAAAGUGAGGUGCUCAGUUUUCUGAAGAAAAGCAUUCAGUUGAUAUAUAUUUUUAAAACUCUGACCUUUCACGACCUCAGUUUGGAGACCUCGGUAGGGAUGAAAGAAAAUAACUAAAAGGUCAAGCAAGUAAAGAACGCUGAAAGAAUGCUCAGUGCAAGCAUACAACGUGGGGCACGCCUCUGUUCCCAGGGAAGAACCAGUUGGGGGCUGGGGAAACCAGUGUUUUCUGGAGAAAGAGAAACAGCUGCUUAAGCACGAGUGUCUGAAGGAAGUCCUGUUCCCUACUGCCAACCCACGAGGCAUGACCACAGUCCAGUCGCAGGAGCUGCUAUAACAAGAUGACAAGGAGGCAAGACUGAUUCACUACUGAUUAAUGCCUGUUGAUCUUCAACAAUGGGCCAUUCCAACAAAUGCAAGAAAGGAAAAAUCACUAGCCAAUAACAUGGGGAUCCUAUCCUAUAAACAGAAAGGAAUCCCAUGGAAAGAAUUCUAAUUUUAUCUAUUUAAGCAACUAUUGGUUACUCAUGCAGGUUCAGAAACAGAGGGGACUAUGAGUCAAUAAAUGAUGUAAAG
rnacentral:lncRNA from 1 species